ACAACAGGGAUUGCCCUAGUAACGGCGAGUGAAGCGGCAACAGCUCAAAUUUGAAAUCUGGCUCUUUCAGAGUCCGAGUUGUAAUUUGCAGAGGGCGCUUUGGCUUUGGCAGCGGUCCAAGUUCCUUGGAACAGGACGUCACAGAGGGUGAGAAUCCCGUACGUGGUCGCUAGCUAUUGCCGUGUAAAGCCCCUUCGACGAGUCGAGUUGUUUGGGAAUGCAGCUCUAAAUGGGAGGUAAAUUUCUUCUAAAGCUAAAUAUUGGCCAGAGACCGAUAGCGCACAAGUAGAGUGAUCGAAAGAUGAAAAGCACUUUGGAAAGAGAGUCAAACAGCACGUGAAAUUGUUGAAAGGGAAGCGCUUGCAGCCAGACUUGCUUGCAGUUGCUCAUCCGGGCUUUUGCCCGGUGCACUCUUCUGCAGGCAGGCCAGCAUCAGUUUGGGCGGUGGGAUAAAGGUCUCUGUCAUGUACCUCUCUUCGGGGAGGCCUUAUAGGGGAGGCGACAUACCACCAGCCUAGACUGAGGUCCGCGCAUCUGCUAGGAUGCUGGCGUAAUGGCUGUAAGCGGCCCGUCUUGAAACACGGACCAAGGAGUCUAACAUCUAUGCGAGUGUUUGGGUGUCAAGCCCGAGCGCGUAAUGAAAGUGAACGGAGGUGGGAACCCGCAAGGGUGCACCAUCGACCGAUCCUGAAGUUUACGGAAGGAUUUGAGUAAGAGCAUGGCUGUUGGGACCCGAAAGAUGGUGAACUAUGCUUGAAUAGGGUGAAGCCAGAGGAAACUCUGGUGGAGGCUCGCAGCGGUUCUGACGUGCAAAUCGAUCGUCAAAUUUGGGCAUAGGGGCGAAAGACUAAUCGAAC
rnacentral:rRNA from 1 species